AUCAACAUCAGUGACACGAGGGAGAGAGCAGAUAGAGAGAAAGAGGAGAUUAAGAAAGUGAGAGGGGUGAGAGCAAGAGGACAAUCUGCAUGUGCAAGGUUCACUUUUAGUAAUACUAAUACCAGUCUUGUCAGGUGCUCGACAUCAACAAUCGCUCUCCUCGGAGUUGUUCGUGUGAACUCAACAUGCUGGAGAAGAAGAAGACACGGCGGAGAGAAAGUUGGAGAAGAAGAUGCAAUGGAAGAAGUCGGAGAAAAAGUUGGGAGAAAGGAAGAGGAAAAAGGAAAAGGAAAAAAAGGAAAAAAUAUGAAGAAAAAAAAGAAGCAAGGAUAAUGUUGUAAUUUUACGUAAUCAUGUCAUCAUCAAAGGGUCAUUUGACUUUUUUUUCAAAAUUUAGAUCUUCCGCUAUUUUGGGUCUUUAAAAUGGAUCUUUUGAGCAGUUA